GAGCCUGCGGCUUAAUUUGACUCAACACGGGGAAACUCACCAGGUCCAGACACAAUGAGGAUUGACAGAUUGAGAGCUCUUUCUUGAUCUUGUGGAUGGUGGUGCAUGGCCGUUCUUAGUUGGUGGAGUGAUUUGUCUGCUUAAUUGCGAUAACGAACGAGACCUUAACCUGCUAAUUACCCGGCCCUGCUCCGGCGGCCCGCCGGUUUUUAAGAGGGACUUUGGGUUAAGCCCGUUGGAAUUCUAAGGCAUUACCGGGU
rnacentral:rRNA from 1 species